UAGGUAGUGAAAUCCUGGGGCUCAACCCUUUAACAUUAUUUAAACUGCUAAGCUAGAAUAUAGAAGAGGUCGCUGGAAUUCCUUGUGUAGGAGUGAAAUCCGUAGAUAUAAGGAGGAACACCGAUGGCGUAGGCAGGCGACUGGUCUAUUAUUGACACUAAGGCACGAAAGCGUGGGUAGCAAACGGGAUUAGAUACCCCGGUAGUCCACGCCGUAAACUAUGGAUGCUA
rnacentral:rRNA from 1 species